rnacentral:lncRNA from 1 species
GCCUACAGCCCUUCAAAAAAGAAUACAAGUUCAGGGUUCUAUAUUAGCUUUUAGCCAGGUAUUUUUUCAUAAAUUUUAUAUCUUCAUAGUAUUUUAAUUAUGCAAUUUUUCUAUAGCAUGAAUCUUGUACCUUUAUAAAUUGUUAGCAACUGUAUGCUAUGUUUCUAUUGCAUGUGAGUUGAUUUUAGUUUUUUGUUGAUGUUUUUUAUUUUUUAUUUUUAUUCAUUCAUAUAGUACUGUUCGGUGUCUAGUAAUAUUAUUAUGGGAGACUCUCAACC